UGGGGUAUAGCUCAGUUGGUAGAGUGCUUGCCUUGCAAGCACAAGGCCCUGGGUUCAAUUCCCAGCACCGCAA